GCAGGUGAGUGGGGGAAGGGCAGCAGGUGAGUGGGGGAAGGGCAGCAGGUGAGAGGGGGGAAGGGCAGCAGGUGAGGGGGAAGGGCAGCAGGUGAAUGGGGAAAGUGUAGCAGGUGAGGGGGGAAGGGCAGCAGGUGAGGGGGGAAGGGCAGCAGGUGAGAGUCCAGAAAAGGGUACCCACAGCCUGCCAGUGGCACAUACAUAAGUGACUUGAAGGCCUUGAAGAGAAGCAUAAAGGGCCAGAAAGUACAGUGAGAGGCAUGGUUGGAGGUCUACAACUACGUAGGAGGAAGCCACCGAUGCCAGCACUUAUAUACCAAGGACAGGGGCAGUGAAGAAAAUAGGGGAGAAUGAAAUCUUGCAAAGGCAUCACAAAUGGUUCAUCAAAACAAAGAGACAAACCAGAGAUGAAUUCUUGAGGGUGGGGAGUGGGAGUCUCAAAGUAGUGAAGGAGCUGGGAAGAUGGUUCUGGCUGUAAAGUCUACGCCAUGGAAGCACAGGGACUUGAGUUCAGAUCCCCCACACCCACGUAGAAAGCCACACUACCAGUAAUGGUGCACAUCUAUAAUCCCUGAUCUGGGAGCCUUGGGUGGAAACACCAGGAUUCUCAAAGCUCACUGACCAGCUAAGCUAGUCUGGCCCAGUCUGUCAACUCUGCAGCAAAAAACGACAGAAGUAAAGAGGGCUAGACCUCUAGCCACCACCCCGGACAUGAACCUACACUCCCGCAACCACACAAACACAUGCAUAAAUUACUUACUUAAUUACACACACACACACCUGUGUGGACACACAAAGUAGUGCAACAACUCCUUUGAAUGGCUAAAUUGGUUCUACAUUUGAACACAGGUGUCAGUAUGAGUGACCCAGGGACAUCCCGAAGUCUCUGUAGGGAAGGCCCAGUGGUGCACAGGCCAUGUAGAAUGGACUUUCUCCUCACCUCUUGUGCCUGAGC
rnacentral:lncRNA from 1 species